ACGAACGCUGGCGGCGUGCUUAACACAUGCAAGUCGAGCGGAAAGGCCCUUCGGGGUACUCGAGCGGCGAACGGGUGAGUAACACGUGAGUAACCUACCUCGAACUCUGGGAUAAGCCUGGGAAACUGGGUCUAAUACCGGAUGUUCAUCUCCUGCUGCAUGGUGGGGGAUGGAAAGUGUUUAGCGGUUCGGGAUGGGCUCGCGGCCUAUCAGCUUGUUGGUGAGGUAAUGGCUUACCAAGGCUUUUACGGGUAGCCGGCCUGAGAGGGCGACCGGCCACACUGGGACUGAGAGACGGCCCAGACUCCUACGGGAGGCGGGGGUGGGGAAUAUUGCGCAAUGGGCGGAAGCCUGACGCAGCAACGCCGUGUGAGGGAUGACGGCCUUCGGGUUGUAAACCUCUUUCACCAGGGACGAAGCUUUUGUGACGGUACCUGGGGAAGAAGCGCCGGCCAACUACGUGCCAGCAGCCGCGGUAACACGUAGGGCGCGAGCGUUGUCCGGAAUUAUUGGGCGUAAAGGGCUCGUAGGCGGUUUGUCGCGUCGAAAGUGAAAAUCCCGGGGCUCAACUCCGGACUUGCUUUCGAUACGGGCAGGCUAGAGGUAGGCAGGGGAGAAUGGAAUUCCUGGUGUAGUGGUGGAAUGCGCAGAUAUCAGGAGGAACACCGGUGGCGAAGGCGGUUCUCUGGGCCUUACCUGACGCUGAGGAGCGAAAGCGUGGGGAGCGAACAGGAUUAGAUACCCUGGUAGUCCACGCUGUAAACGUUGGGCGCUAGGUGUGGGAGUCUUUUGUGACGUCCGUGCCGUAGCUAACGCAUUAAGCGCCCCGCCUGGGGAGUACGGUCGCAAGACUAAAACUCAAAGGAAUUGACGGGGGCCCGCACAAGCGGCGGAGCAUGUUGCUUAAUUCGAGGCAACGCGAAGAACCUUACCUGGGUUUGACAUGUGGGUUAAUCCGGCAGAGAUGUCGGGUCCUUUUGGGAACUCAUGCAGGUGGUGCAUGGCUGUCGUCAGCUCGUGUCGUGAGAUGUUGGGUUAAGUCCCGCAACGAGCGCAACCCUCGUCCUAUGUUGCCAGCACGUUAUGGUGGGGACUCAUAGGAGACUGCCGGGGUCAACUCGGAGGAAGGUGGGGAUGAUGUCAAGUCUUCAUGCCCCUUAUGUCCAGGGCUGCAAACAUGCUACAAUGGUCGGUACAAUGGGCUGCGAGACCGUGAGGUGGAGCGAAUCCCUAAAAGCCGGCCUCAGUUCGGAUCGGGGUCUGCAACUCGACCCCGUGAAGUUGGAGUCGCUAGUAAUCGCGGAUCAGCAACGCCGCGGUGAAUACGUUCCCGGGCCUUGUACUCACCGC
rnacentral:rRNA from 1 species